AUUAAAAGAAUCUGAACUCAAGAGACCAUACAUUAAAAGAAUCUGAACUGUGGAUGGGAUCCCACAAGUUCAAAGCUCUCUGUGGAAACCUGGGAAAAUGUGAACAAACACAAAAGCGACUUCAAUGAAAUUUAGCCUUCCUGCUGGAAUUCCCUCUGCCUUCCCUUUUUGUCUUGGCAUUGUGCAGAGCAAUGUUACAGAAUGAUAUUGACAGGGGAGGAAAGAAAUUAUGAAACAGAUGGUAUUCAACCUGGAAGUUAUGUCUUUAAGAAGAUUCAACCUGGAUGUUUAUGUCUUCCAGGAGCACAGUAAGAAGCAUGAAUUGAUCAUCAACAAAGUCAGAAUGGAAUGAGUGGAAUGAGUGAUGUUGCCCGUUGAAUGUUUACUUAAUAUGAUUCCUCAAAUGGUUUUAAAGCCACCCAUAUCUGAAUAGUUUAAAGAUUUCCAGAGGCAAAAGAAAUCCUAGAUAUAAUGGCAUAGUUGGUUUGCCAAAAGCUAAAAUCUGAAGAUUUAUAAUCCACUUUGCAAUCAUUGUAGCUGAAUUAGAUAGAUCUUUGCAGGGUGCAUUUCUUUUACUCUGUCUGUUUCAAUCAUCUGUUUUUUCCAAUGUAAGUGUACUAUUACAUCAGAGCGGCAGUGUGCAGGUUUGCUGGAAAACGUUUGCCUUCAGCUUGAACUUGUGCCAGAAAUGUCCUGGAUCUAAGUUUUAAGUGUAGAAAUAUACAUGACGGUUGAACUGCUACUG